GCAAGAUACCACGGGCGCACGGCGGAUGCCUUGGCACAGGGAGCCGAUGAAGGACGCGGCAAGCUGCGAUAAUCCCCGGCGAGGAGCACACAUCCUUCGACCCGGGGGUCUCCGAAUGGGCGAACCCAUGCACAGCAGUGUGCAUAUCCCCACCCCGAACACAUAGGGGCGGGGAGGACAACCCGGGGAACUGAAACAUCUAAGUACCCGGAGGAGAGGAAAUCAAUCUCGAGACUCCCCGAGUAGCGGCGAGCGAAAGGGGACCGAUGGCCAAACCGUCGAGCGGGCAUACCCGGCAGGGGUUCCGCCGACGGGGUUGCAGGGCCGCGCAUCCGGGGGCUGCCGCCCCCGGGCGCAGGUCCGGCUGGGGAGCGGAACGGCAUGGGAGGGCCGGCCGCAGCGGGUGACAGCCCCGUACGCGAACCCAGACCGGACGGCGCGACGCGGUCCCUGAGUAGGGCCGGGCACGUGAAACCCGGUCCGAACCUGGGUGGACCACCAUCCAAGCCUGAGUACUACCCUGUGACCGAUAGCGCACCAGUACCGUGAGGGAAAGGUGAAAAGCACCCCGGGAGGGGAGUGAAACAGUACCUGAAACCGUGCGCCCACGAGCAGUCGGAGCACCCUUGUGGUGUGACGGCGUGCCUUUUGUAGAAUGAGCCAGCGAGUCGCUGGCGCGGGGCGAGGUUAACCGAAAGGGAGCCGUAGCGAAAGCGAGCCUUAACAGGGCGACUUGAGUCCCGCGCCGCGGACGCGAAGCCGGGUGAGCUAUCCAUGGGCAGGCUGAAGCGGGGGUAAGACCCCGUGGAGGGCCGAACGCACGUCGGUUGAAAACGGCGGCGAUGACCUGCGGAUAGGGGUGAAAGGCCAAUCAAACCCGGAGAUAUCUCGUUCUCCCCGAAAUAGCUUUAGGGCUAGCGUCGCGCGUUCACCGCCGGAGGUAGAGCACCGGAUGGACGAGGGGGCUUCGCCGCCUACCGAAUCCAACCGAACUCCGAAUGCCGGCGGCCCAGAGCGCGGCAGUCAGAGCAUGUGGGCUAAGCUGUGUGCUCGAGAGGGAAACAGCCCGGACCGCCCGCUAAGGUCCCCAAGUUCCAGCCGAGUGGCAAAGGAUGUGCGUCCGCCCAGACAACCAGGAUGUUGGCUUAGAAGCAGCCAUUCAUUCAAAGAGUGCGUAACAGCUCACUGGUCGAGUGGACAUGCGCCGACAAUACACGGGGCUAAGCUGGACACCGAAGCGGCGGGAUUUUAUUUACUAGAAUCGGUAGGGGAGCUUCCCAUGGGCGGUGAAGCCGCCGGGCGACCGGCGGUGGAGCGCAUGGGAGUGAGAAUGCUGGCAUGAGUAGCGAGAGACGAGAGAGUAACUCGUCCGCCGUGAACCCGAGGUUUCCUGGGCAAGGCUAAUCCUCCCAGGGUCAGUCGGGGGCUAAGGCGAGGCCGGGAGGCGUAGCCGACGCGCAGCAGGCAGACAUUCCUGCACCGCGCACGCGGCGCUACGACCGACGGGGCGACGGAUGGGGGUGGCUCGGCGGGGUUCUGGACGUCCCCGUGAUGGAGCGCGGCCCGCGGACCAGGGAAAUCCGGUCCGCACACAGGGCGAGGCUCCGGACGAAGCGAUCAAGCGAAGCGAGUGAGCCCGAGGUCCCUAGAAAAACCCCUAGGCAGGCGCGUGCGCGCCCGUACCGCAAACCGACACAGGUGGGUGGGUAGAACAUACCGAGGCGAUCGGGUCAACCAUGGUCAAGGAACUCGGCACAAUGGCCCCGUAACUUCGGGAGAAGGGGUGCCCGCGCGUACGUGAACGGACUUGCUCCGGGAGCGGAGGCGGGCCGCAGUGGAGAGGCCCAAGCGACUGUUUACCAAAAACACAGGACUCUGCAGAAGCCGCAAGGCGACGUAUAGGGUCUGACGCCUGCCCGGUGCCGGAAGGUUACGCGGAUGCGUUAGCAUGACUGCGAAGCGCUGAAGCCAAGCCCCGGUAAACGGCGGCCGUAACUAUAACGGUCCUAAGGUAGCGAAAUUCCUUGUCGGGUAAGUUCCGACCUGC
rnacentral:rRNA from 1 species